CUCGAGGAGAACGACCCCGAAGCUGCUGGAGCUCAAGUUGGCGAUCUUGCUGUCGAAGAGCAGCACCUUCUCGUGCAGCUUACGGGUAUGGAGAGCCACAUUGAGUAUGCAUUAAAACAACAUGGACGUGAUAUAUGCACAUGGGUGGCGCACCCAGAAAUAAACUUCCAUGUGGGGUCUUGGGCCAUUAAAAUGAUUAAAUCAGUAACUCAACAGAGAGGUUGGUACUGGACAAAGUAAAUUAAUUUAUUAUGGUCUUAUAAGUUUAUGAAAAGAUGGUACAUAUUUUACCAUUGUAUUUGUUUAUAAAACAGCUCAUGCAGACUGUACUUAAUAGCAAGGAAAAAAUAGUGGGCUGUUUGAUUUAGCGGAUGCCUCGUCGAGAAGCUGUAGCGGUAGAAGCGAAACAAUUUAGCGGUUUUCUCUAUGAAAAGCAAUCUAUUUCAUAGAAACAAAGAAUUUCAGCAUGCAUAUCAUGGAAUAAUAAUAUUUUUCUUUGACUCCAUUACUAUUGCAUGGCUUAUAAUCUGCUACUAACCUAAAUUGGAUGCACCAAUUCUAUCUACAAUCCUUAUUUCAAAAGAUGGCAUGGGGAUGGAAUGAAAUUGAAUAGGAAGGCUGCAUCAUUUCCAGAAGUACAGAACAAAGAGGAAAGGACAAACAAGCAAGAAAGUUUUGACAUAGUAGUUCUAGUGUUUGAACAGACAAUCAAGUUUCUUUAUACAAAUUAAUUUUGGCGAUUCUAGUGUCUAGCAUCUGAAACAAUUUACCGAGGAAGGGAGAGUCAAUGAUAAAGGAGUAACAAUCCAGACUUAGUUUCAGGCUGAAACAUCAAGGUGUCGUCGGUCGUCUCGAUUUAGCCCCUGUCUCCUAGCCAGGGCCGCCGCGGCCUGGGUGCAGCAGCCAUGGAGUACAAGUGUACAACCCGCUCGGUGCUCGUGACAGUUUUGUAUUGGGCUUCAGAUUCUAGUGUGAUGGGAUAAUUUUGUUGGCGGUGCUAUAGAUCCUCUAGCGGCUACACUGUUUAGCGGUAAUUAGUGGCGUUUUAGCGGUCGUAGCGCCCAUAUAUAGCCGGCAGAAACAGGCUUAGCAUCGCGGAAGGCUAUCCCAGAAGCUAUAGCGGUGCUAUUUAUUUCCUUGCUUAAUAAUGAAUAUACUGAACUGGAAUGGAAGAUGGCUCACAAAUCAGUUGGACCAGGUAAUUGUAAUUUUUUUGCAAAUUUAUUUAUGUUAAACUUAUGUACAACACCAUUAACUUUCUACAAUUUUGCAGACCUAUGUCAACAAUUUUGGACCCAAGUUGGUGGUCACACUUAUAAAAUCACCUCACAAUAAGGAGAAGAAAGGACCAAAUAAGAUUACUGGAUUUGUGCGGAGGCUCAUACAACUCGCGAAUUCCUUGGAGUUUAUGUUCAUCACUCUACUUGAAGAAUAUAGGGAAAAAUUGGUUUUCCCAGAUUACUGGAUUUGUGCGGAGGCUCAUACAUCUCGCGAAUUCCUUGGAGUUUUUGUUCAUCACUCUACUUGGAGAAUAUAGGAAAAACAAACGAGACUUCUUCACGCUGGACGCAUACUAUGAUCCAGCCAUUGACGGGAAUCCAUCAGCGCCGGCGGCGGCCGGCGGGAGCGACAGUUCGGCGGCGGCUGCUCCUACGGCGAGAAAGGUGGGGAUUGGGACGUCGUCAAAAGUAUAUGGCUUAUGGGUAUGGCUUCGUAGGGCUGUGGUAGUUUUCGUAUGUAUUUAUAUUACCUGACUAAAAUAAAAAGGAAAUUUGACGAUUUGUUACCUUCUAAUUGGUUUGUAAUAGUUAUUUCCUAAUAAUUGUCUCGUCAAAAUUCAUAGCUUUAGGAAACAAAGUGUUUCCAAAUAAUUAUCUGCCGAUUUUCACC